GAUGGCUUUAGGCAUCAGCUUUGUCAGAGAUCAGGAUGAAUGACUCAAAAUAAUUGCCAAGGAGACUUUUGGGCUAUGACCUCCUCGUACCAUCAGAUUCAUUUUUCCCUCCAGAGCAAUGGAGAAGAAAAAUGUACAACCCUGGACCCUGGCAGAAAGGAUGGUUCCUCCUCUGGUCGACCAGACUAUUGUCUAUUAAACAGUAGCAAGAGAGGCUCAGGAGACCACUGCAUUCUGUUUCUCCUCUGAUAAGAGACUGUUGACAAGAUCGUGGACCCUGGAAACCAUUCCUCAGUGACUGAGUCCAUUCUGGCUGGGCUCUCAGAACAGCCAGAGCUCCAGCUGCGCCUCUUCCUCCUGUUCUUAGGAAUCUGUGUGGUCACAGUGGUGGGCAACUUGGGCAUGAUCACACUGAUUGGGCUCAGUUCUCACCUGCACACACCUAUGUACUAUUUCCUCAGCAGUCUGUCCUUCAUUGACUUCUGCCAUUCCACUGUCAUUACCCCUAAGAUGCUGGUGAACUUUGCGACAGAGAAGAACAUCAUCUCCUACCCUGAAUGCAUGGCUCAGCUCUAUUUAUUCAGUAUUUUUGCUAUUGCAGAGUGUCACAUGUUGGCUGCAAUGGCGUAUGACUGUUAUGUUGCCAUCUGCAGCCCCUUGCUGUACAAUGUCAUCAUGUCCUAUCACCACUGCUUCUGGCUCACAGUGGGAGUUUACAUUUUAGGCAUCCUUGGAUCUACAAUUCAUACCAGUUUUAUGUUGAGACUCUUUUUGUGCAAGACUAAUGUGAUUAACCAUUAUUUUUGUGAUCUUUUCCCUCUCUUGGGGCUCUCCUGCUCCAGCACCUACAUCAAUGAAUUACUGGUUCUGGUCUUGAGUGCAUUUAACAUCCUGAUGCCUGCCUUAACCAUCCUUGCUUCUUACAUCUUUAUCAUUGCCAGCAUCCUCCGCAUUCACUCCACUGAGGGCAGGUCCAAAGCCUUUAGCACUUGCAGCUCCCACAUCUUGGCUGUUGCUGUUUUCUUUGGAUCUGCAGCAUUCAUGUACCUGCAGCCAUCAUCUGUCAGCUCCAUGGACCAGAGGAAAGUGUCGUCUGUGUUUUAUACUACUAUUGUGCCCAUGCUGAACCCCCUGAUCUACAGCCUGAGGAAUAAAGAUGUCAAACUUGCCGUGAAGAAAAUUCUGCAUCAGACAGCAUGUUAAUGAAUAGAAUCAAUGUUAUGUUGUUACAUCAAGAUAGGUCUUUGGUUUGAUUAGAUAUCUAACUUAUUGGAUUUAUUGUUGAGAUUUAUGAAAAUUUAGUGAUGCUCUUUUAUGUAACACCUCUCCAAAAUAUUCCUCCGG